AUGGGCUCUUGGACCCUCUGUGUGUCCCUUUAUAUCCUGGUAGUGACACACACAGAUGUUGGCAUUAUCCAGUCGCCCAGGCACAAAGUGACAGAGAUGGGACAAUCAAUAACUCUGAGAUGCGAACCUAUUUCAGGCCACAGUGAUCUUCUCUGGUACAGACAGACCUUGGUGCAGGGACUGGAAUUGCUGAAUUACUUCCGCAGCCGGACCCUCGUAGAUGACUCAGGGAUGCCCAAGGAUCAAUUCUCAGCAUAG